UGCGAAGGGGGCUAGCGUUGCUCGGAAUUACUGGGCGUAAAGCGCACGUAGGCGGAUCUUUAAGUCAGGGGUGAAAUCCCAAGGCUCAACCUUGGAACUGCCUUUGAUACUGGGGGAUCUCGAGUCCGGAAGAGGUUGGUGGAACUGCGAGUGUAGAGGUGAAAUUCGUAGAUAUUCGCAAGAACACCAGUGGCGAAGGCGGCCAACUGGUCCGGUACUGACGCUGAGGUGCGAAAAGCGUGGGGAGCAAACAGG
rnacentral:rRNA from 1 species